AUGAACCAAAAAAAGUCACAAAUUGUUGGAGCUUCAGAGUUCAACCUUUCAGAUCACAAACAUCCAUUAUCAUCACCUCACGACCUCAUGUCAGUUCCUGUAAAACCCUUCAACGCACACCUCCUCCGCGUCACUCGUCUCCGCACACAACACUUUUCACAAAUGCCCGGUCAACCGCUGCACACAGGAUCGCGCAUCCUAUUCGCCGUUGGUGUCCGUGUCUCCGACCGUUUGCAACCACCGUUCACCAUCAUGUAG